UUCUAUGCGCACAGAGUUAGAUUUCUAUAUGUGCAUAGUUCUUUAGUUAGAGUUAUCUGGAUGUAUAGGUCCAUAGAUUGAGCAGUGUAGACCUAGGCUGCAUUUUUGCCUCUUUCCCCCUUGGCUGCCUUUUUCAUCUCUUGUUUUUCCCGCUGUGCCCCUUGUGUCCCCCUGUGCUGGGUCCGAGCUGGGGCCGGGCCAGGCGGAGCAGCAGUUGCAGCCCUGGCUGUCCCUGGAGCGGUGGGAGCUGCCGGUGGCCCCAGGCACUGUCCUGUGAGGAGCUGCUGAAGGACGCUGUGCUGAAGAGCUUGAGGACAUCCAGACACUGCCAGGAGGCAGCAGGGAGAAGCUGAAGGCCUGGAACAAGAGCAGUGAGCAGGGAUGUGCUGGGGCCACGCGAGAGCCUGGAUGUCCCAUCUGCUGUCCCUGUCCAGGAGAGCUGCUCUGCAUGGGAGGAAAACACUGAGGGAGAGGCUUUGAAGAUCGGGCAGCUGAUUUAUUCUUAUGCAGUUGUAUGGAUGUUUAG